UUGAAUGCAAGAUUUUCUUUUGGAAUGAUGAAAACAUUUCAGAACUUGAUGGAAAUGAUAAAUAUACACUAUGAAUAUACUAAAUUCAACUGGAUUGUAUACUUUUAAAAAAUGGUUAACUCUAUGUUAUGUAAGAUUUUUUUGUUGUUGUUUUGUUUUUUUUCCUUUCUUUCUUUCAGACAAUCUUGUUAUAUUUCCCAGGAUGGCCUUGAACUCCCCAUCCUCUCACCUCAGUCCAGAGCUGCCGGGUUUACAGGUGAUCCUGUAACUGAUCUCCAAACAGAAGAUAUUUUGGGGGUGAAGAAUGGCAGAAUUUGGCAUCAGUUCUCACUCCAUGACUUACUAGGUUUGAGAAGGCUUGGAGAAGUCAUUUGGUUCCUGUCUUAUAGAUGAAGAAGCUGAGGAUCAUUAACAAUUAUGAGGCACUUAUGUAUGUCAGGACACUGUGAAAGGUACUAGGAAUCUAAGUCUUUGGUAAUGGUUUAACAUGGGAGGUAGAAACAGGCAAAUUUUCUGUAGACAGUAAGAGCUGAAACAGAGAUAAUCGAGGCACCAUAGGAUAAUGAGGAGCUUGCAAGAGCUUAGCCCUAGAAAGUUUGGGGAAUACUUAAGAAAGUAGAGACCUGAGCAGAGCUGAAGGAUGAACAGGGCCAAAAGCAAUCCGGGCAGAAGGCAUGGAAGUGUGUCAGAGACAGAGACAGAAGACAAGCUGGUAGGCCUGGCUGGACACACUUCAGUCAGUGACAAAAGACUAGAAGGAAAACGCCAGGUGAAAGUGGCAAAGGACAUAUCUGAGAUGCCUGUAAUCCCAGCAGCUCGGGAGGCUGAGGCGAGAAGAUUGCAAGUUCAGAGCCAGCCUGAGCAAAAGCGAGGUGCUAGGCACUCAGUGAGACCCUGUCUCUAAAUAAAAUACAAAAUAGGGCUGGGAAUGUGGCUCAGUAUUUGAGUACCCCCGAGUUCAAUCCCUGGUACCUGCCCACCUCAAAUUAAAUAAACUAGAUAAGAACUCAGUAAAUUCUAAAGCACUCUAUGGCCCCACUGCAUGAUGCUAUAAAAUCUGUGUCUACAGAAGUAUUUUUGCAUAAUUUUCAUGCACUGAGAAAUCAGUAAGUGGCAAGUUAAAGUAGAAGCUGCAAUCAAAAAUAAUUUCAUAGGCAUAACUAUCAGCUCAAAGGUGAGGGUAGCUGAAGGGUACGUUUUUUAAAGUAGCCAACAACAAUCAGGACAAAAAAUUCCGCCCUAGCAAGUUGCUUCCUUUUAUGAUCAAACAUUCAAGAAGCAGUUAGUAGCUCUACAAAGACUAUCAGCUGACUAAAGAAAGCACAGCUGACUUUCACUAGGAAAGAAAGUUGAUACCAAAUUCUUUAAGCACAAAUACUUAUAAGCAUUAGGCAAUAAACAAAAUUUAACCAUACCAGAAUCUUUACUUGCAGGUAAAUUUUGGGAUUUAAACAAAUCGCUCUGAGGAGCAAAUAUCCUCUGGCCAGUCCUCAUGAUCAGUUAGAGGUCAAUGGAGCUGACAACACAAAGCCCUCUUCCCUCCAAUGCUCAUUGCUCCCAACACAAUUCCUGAAAGGGGAUGGACCAGGAAGGGAGUGAAGGCUCACCUCACCAUUGUCCAGCACAGCCAUGGAAGAGGUCUGACCACAGGCAAUGCCAACCACCCUCUUGAUAUGUAAACAGUUGGUAACCUUUCGAGGAGUUGGUUGGUUUGUUGUAGAUCCUGAUCCCACCUGGCCACAGUUGUUAUAGCCCCAAGCGAAUACCUACAAGAGAAGGGAAAAGGAAAAAAAAAGAGUACUUAGAGUGUGGUACAGUGAGCAAGACAGAAACUUUAAGACAAGCAUGAAUCCAGGGAUGAAUAAGAGGUAUAACACCUACUACAGGCUGGGGAAGUUAUUUUCUCCAGAAUCAUUACAAAUACACCAAAAAACAAAACAUAUCUUAAGGAACAAGGUUAUUAAAAAAAAAAAAAAAGGUCCAGAACACCAUUAUACAUAUCUGAUUUGUGGUCUUUUUAAGUAUUUUUUUCUUAGUUAUAAGUAGACACAAUAUCUUUAUUUUAUUUUUAUGUGGGGCUGAGGAUCGAACCCAAUGCCUCACACAUUCAAGGUGAGCACUCUUCCUCUGAGCCACAAUCCCAGCCCCCCUGAUUUGUGGUCUUGGCAAACAGUAUGACACUCACCCUUAAGACUGAAUUCUAGGGAUGGGGCUGUAGCUCAGUGGUAGAACGCUGGUAUAGCCAUGUGUAUGUGCAAAGCACCACACACACACACACACACGAUUAAUUUCUUCUACCAAAAGGGAAGUCCUCUGACUAUAUGACACAGGUUAUGCUGGAGAAGAGUGUUCCCACAAUCAUUUUAGCUACAAGCUAUGCCACGUACAAAUAUGUUCUUUUUUUAAAUAGAAAAAUUUCACAAUAGAAAAGCAGAUAUAUCCAACAACAUAUCUAACAACAGAUGAACAUAAAAAACAAAACAUGAUAUAUACAUUCAACGGAAUAUUAUUCAGCCUUUAAAAAUUCUGUCAACUCGAAGUCACCAUGCUCAAUGAAAUAAGCGAGUCAAUAAAAUGACAAUACUGUAUGAUUUCACUUCUAUGAGGCACCACGAGUUGUCCAAGUUAUAAAAACAAAAAGUAGAAUGCAGUAGCCAAGAGCUGGAGAGCAAGGAUGGAGAGUGAAUGUUUAUCAGAUACAGUGUGUUUUAUAAGAUAAAGAGUCUGGGUGUAGAUGGCAGUGACAACUGCAGUAAUAAUGUGAAUAGAUUUAAUGUCCCUGAACUGUACUUAAAAAUGGUUAAGAUGGGUGCUGGGGAUAUAGCUCAGUGGUAGAGCACUUGCCUAGCAUGGGCAAAGCCCUGGGCUCAAUCUCCAGCACCACCAAAAAAAGAAACUAAGAUGGUAAAUUUUAUGUUAUGUGUAUUUUACCACAAUUUUCAAAAAGAAUAAAAACAGCACACUUACCUCUCCAUCA